rnacentral:rRNA from 1 species
CGUAGGGGGCAAGCGUUGUCCGGAUUUAUUGGGCGUAAAGAGCGUGUAGGUGGCCAUGUAGGUCCGCUGUGAAAACUCGAGGCUCAACCUCGAGAUGUCGGUGGAAACCACAUGGCUAGAGUCCGGAAGAGGAGAGUGGAAUUCCUGGUGUAGCGGUGAAAUGCGCAGAUAUCAGGAAGAACACCAAUGGCGAAGGCAGCUCUCUGGGACGGUACUGACACUGAGACGCGAAAGCGUGGGGAGCGGACAGGAUUAGAUACCCUGGUAGUCCACGCUGUAAACGAUGGGUGCUAGGUGUGGGCGGUGUCGACUCCGUCCGUGCCGAAGCUAACGCAUUAAGCACCCCGCCUGGGGAGUACGGCCGCAAGGCUA